GUUUGAUCCUGGCUCAGAUUGAACGCUGGCGGCAUGCUUUACACAUGCAAGUCGGGCGGCAGCACAGAGAAGCUUGCUUCUUGGGUGGCGAGUGGCGAACGGGUGAGUAACAUAUCGGAACGUACCGAGUAAUGGGGGAUAACUAAUCGAAAGAUUAGCUAAUACCGCAUAUUCUCUGAGGAGGAAAGCAGGGGACCUUCGGGCCUUGCGUUAUUCGAGCGGCCGAUAUCUGAUUAGCUAGUUGGUGGGGUAAAGGCCUACCAAGGCGACGAUCAGUAGCGGGUCUGAGAGGAUGAUCCGCCACACUGGGACUGAGACACGGCCCAGACUCCUACGGGAGGCAGCAGUGGGGAAUUUUGGACAAUGGGCGCAAGCCUGAUCCAGCCAUGCCGCGUGUCUGAUGAAGGCCUUCGGGUUGUAAAGGACUUUUGUCAGGGAAGAAAAGGCUGUUGCUAAUAUCGACAGCUGAUGACGGUACCUGAAGAAUAAGCACCGGCUAACUACGUGCCAGCAGCCGCGGUAAUACGUAGGGUGCGAGCGUUAAUCGGAAUUACUGGGCGUAAAGCGAGCGCAGACGGUUACUUAAGCAGGAUGUGAAAUCCCCGGGCUCAACCUGGGAACUGCGUUCUGAACUGGGUGANUAGAGUGUGUCAGAGGGAGGUAGAAUUCCACGUGUAGCAGUGAAAUGCGUAGAGACGUGGAGGAAUACCGAUGGCGGAGGCAGCCUCCUGGGAUAACACUGACGUUCAUGCUCGAAAGCGUGGGUAGCAAACAGGAUUAGAUACCCUGGUAGUCCACGCCCUAAACGAUGUCAAUUAGCUGUUGGGCAACUUGAUUGCUUAGUAGCGUAGCUAACGCGUGGAAUUGACCGCCUGGGGAGUACGGUCGCAAGAUUAAAACUCAAAGGAAUUGACGGGGACCCGCACAAGCGGUGGAUGAUGUGGAUUAAUUCGAUGCAACGCGAAGAACCUUACCUGGUCUUGACAUGUACGGAAUCCUCCAGAGACGGAGGAGUGCCUUCGGGAGCCGUAACACAGGUGCUGCAUGGCUGUCGUCAGCUCGUGUCGUGAGAUGUUGGGUUAAGUCCCGCAACGAGCGCAACCCUUGUCAUUAGUUGCCAUCAUUUAGUUGGGCACUCUAAUGAGACUGCCGGUGACAAGCCGGAGGAAGGUGGGGAUGAUGUCAAGUCCCCAUGGCCCUUAUGACCAGGGCUUCACACGUCAUACAAUGGUCGGCACAGAGGGUAGCCAAGCCGCGAGGUGGAGCCAAUCUCACAAAACCGAUCGUAGUCCGGAUUGCACUCUGCAACUCGAGUGCAUGAAGUCGGAAUCGCUAGUAAUCGCAGGUCAGCAUACUGCGGUGAAUACGUUCCCGGGUCUUGUACACACCGCCCGUCACACCAUGGGAGUGGGGGAUACCAGAAGUAGGUAGGGUAACCGCAAGGAGCCCGCUUACCACGGUAUGGCCGAUGACUGGGGUGAAGUCGUAACAAGGUAACC
rnacentral:rRNA from 1 species